AUUGAGAGUUUGAUCCUGGCUCAGGAUGAACGUUGGCGGCGUGUUUAAGGCAUGCAAGUCGAGCGACGUGGAGCGGCAAACGGGUGAGUAACACAUUGGUAACCUACCUCUAAGACAGGGAUAGCCCACCGAAAGGUGGAUUAAUACCUGAUGGUAAUGCGGGGACAUAAGUCAUUCGCAUUUAAAGAUUUAUCGCUUAGAGAGGGGCCUAUGUCCUAUCAGCUAGUUGGCAGUGUAAUAGACUACCAAGGCUAUGACGGGUAGCAGGCGUGAGAGCGUGACCUGCCUCACUGGGACUGAGAUACUGCCCAGACUCCUACGGGAGGCUGCAGUCAAGAAUAUUCCUCAAUGGACGAAAGUCUGAAGGAGCGACGCCGCGUGCAGGAAGAAGCCCCUCGGGGUGUAAACUGCUUUUAUAGGGGACGAAUUUGUGACGGUACCCUAAGAAUAAGAGGUUGCUAACUCUGUGCCAGCAGCAGCGGUAAUACAGAGACCUCAAACGUUAUCCGGAUUCAUUGGGCGUAAAGCGUCCGCAGGUGGUUUAAAAAGUUGAUGGUUAAAUCUUGAGGCUUAACUUCGAGACUGCUGUCAAUACUGUUAAACUAGAGGUUGGUAGAGGCAAACGGAACUAUCGGUGUAGUCGUAAUAAGCGCUGAUAUCGAUAGGAACACCAAAGGCGAAGGCAGUUUGCUAGAACAAACCUGACACUCAUGGACCAAAGCGUGGGGAGCGAAUAGGAUUAGAUACCCUAGUAGUCCACGCCCUAAACGAUGUGUACUAGGUAUUGGGAGUAUCGACCCUCUCAGUGCCGUUUUAAAAAGCUAACGCGUUAAGUACACCGCCUGGGGAGUACGGCCGCAAGGUUAAAACUCAAAGGAAUAGACGGGGACCCGCACAAGCGGAGGAUCAUGCGG
rnacentral:rRNA from 1 species